rnacentral:rRNA from 1 species
UAGGGAAUAUUAGUAAUGGGCGAAAGCCUGAACUAGCAACGCCGCGUGUGCGAAGAAGGCCUUCGGGUUGUAAAGCACUUUUUGAGAGGAUGAGGAAGGACGGUACUCACAGAAUAAGUCUCGGCUAACUACGUGCCAGCAGCCGCGGUAACACGUAGGAGGCAAACGUUAUCCGGAUUUACUGGGCGUAAAGCGCGUGUAGGUGGUUUGGUAAGUAGGGCGUGAAAGCUCCUGGCUCAACUGGGAGAGGCCGUUCUAAACUGCCGAACUAGAGGAUGGUAGAGGGAGGUGGAAUUCCGGGUGUAGCGGUGGAAUGCGCAGAUAUCCGGAGGAACACCAGUGGCGAAAGCGGCCUCCUGGACCAUUCCUGACACUCAGGCGCGAAAGCUAGGGUAGCAAACGG